AAAAGAAAUUAUAGAGUUGGUAUGAACCACUCUACCGAUCCGGUUACCUCGAUGUGAGGAAGAAGAGAUAGGAAAUCUCACCUUUUUGGAUAUGGAUUGGAAUGAAGUUCUGCAGGGUACGAUGUUAACCAAACAAGACAUCGGAGUAAAAUUCUACUCUCUUAUCUCUUUUUUAUUCAUUUUUUUUUAUAUUUGUAACUUCAACUCUCUUCCAC
rnacentral:lncRNA from 1 species